rnacentral:rRNA from 1 species
GAUGAACGCUGGCGGCGUGCCUAAUACAUGCAAGUCGAGCGAACGGACGAGAAGCUUGCUUCUCUGAUGUUAGCGGCGGACGGGUGAGUAACACGUGGAUAACCUACCUAUAAGACUGGGAUAACUUCGGGAAACCGGAGCUAAUACCGGAUGAUAUUUUGAACCGCAUGGUUCAAAAGUGAAAGACGGUCUUGCUGUCACUUAUAGAUGGAUCCGCGCUGCAUUAGCUAGUUGGUAAGGUAACGGCUUACCAAGGCAACGAUGCAUAGCCGACCUGAGAGGGUGAUCGGCCAACCCGGAACUGAGACACGGUCCAGACUCCUACGGGAGGCAGCAGUAGGGAAUCUUCCGCAAUGGGCGAAAGCCUGACGGAGCAACGCCGCGUGAGUGAUGAAGGUCUUCGGAUCGUAAAACUCUGUUAUUAGGGAAGAACAUAUGUGUAAGUAACUGUGCACAUCUUGACGGUACCUAAUCAGAAAGCCACGGCUAACUACGUG